rnacentral:rRNA from 1 species
GAUGAACGCUGGCGGCGUGCCUAACACAUGCAAGUCGAGCGAUUCUCUUCGGAGAAGAGCGGCGGACGGGUGAGUAACGCGUGGGUAACCUGCCCUGUACACACGGAUAACAUACCGAAAGGUAUGCUAAUACGAGAUAAUAUACUUUUAUCGCAUGGUAGAAGUAUCAAAGCUUUUGCGGUACAGGAUGGACCCGCGUCUGAUUAGCUAGUUGGUAAGGUAACGGCAUACCAAGGCGACGAUCAGUAGCCGACCUGCGUGGGUGAUCGGCCACAUUGGAACUGAGACACGGUCCAAACUCCUACGGGAGGCAGCAGUGGGGAAUAUUGCACAAUGGGCGAAAGCCUGAUGCAGCAACGCCGCGUGAGCGAUGAAGGCCUUCGGGUCGUAAAGCUCUGUCCUCAAGGAAGAUAAUGACGGUACUUGAGGAGGAAGCCUCGGCUAACUACGUGCCAGCAGCCGCGGUAAAAC